AGGGCAUGAUACCGGCUCAGAACGAACGCUGGCAGCGUGCUUUAUACAUGCAAGUCGAGCGAGAAAUUCGCCUUCGGGUGGAGAGUAAAGCGGCAAACGGGUGAGUAACACGUGGGUAACCUGCCUCUCGGAGCGGAAUAACGGCGGUCCUUCGGGACCUUUAGCGAAAGUGCCGCUAAUACCGCAUGCUGAUUCGACAGCACUUGGUUCUCGCAAUCUCUGUCGCUGUUGAGUUGAAAUGGUGGCUUGCCUUCGGGCAGGUUCUCCGCCGAGAGAGGGGCCCGCGGCCUAUUAGCUAGUUGGUGAGGUAACGGCUCACCAAGGCGAUGAUGGGUAGCCGGCGUGAGAGCGCGACCGGUCACACUGGGACUGAGACACUGCCCAGAGCCCCACGGGGCGCUGCAGUAGGGAAUUUUCCGCAAUGGGCGCAAGCCUGACGGAGCGACGCUGCGUGGAGGAAGAAGGCCUUCGGGUUGUAAACUCCUGUCAGGGGUUAUGAAUGCCGUACGGGAAAUCCGUUCGGUUGACAAAGGCCCCAAAGGAAGCCAUGGCUAACUCCGUGCCAGCAGCCGCGGUAAUACGGAGAUGGCAAGCGUGGUUCGGAAUUACUGGGCGUAAAGCGCGCGUAGGCGGCUGUGCAAGUUGGAGGUGAAAUCCUGCGGCUCAACCGCAGAAGUGCCCCCAAUACUGCAUGGCUCGAGGGCGGCAGGGGAGAGUGGAACUCUAGGUGGAGCGGUGGAAUGCGUAGAUAUCUAGGGGAACGCCGGUGGCGAAAGCGACUCUCUGGGCCGUUCCUGACGCUGAGUGUGCGAAAGCCAGGGUAGCAAACGGGAUUAGAUACCCCGGUAGUCCUGGCCGUAAACGAUGGGCACUUGGCAGUAGGGAUUCGUCUUUGCUGCCGUAGCUAACGCGUUAAGUGCCCCGCCUGGGUAGUACGACCGCAAGGUUAAAACUCAAAGUAAUUGACGGGGGCUCGCACAAGCGGUGGAGCAUGUGCCUUAAUUCGUCAACGCGAGGAACCUUACCAGGGUUUGACAUGCUAGUGGUACGAACCUGAAAGGGUUAGGACCUGGUUUUCCAGGAGCUAGCACAGGUGUUGCAUGGCUGUCGUCCGUUCGUAUCGUGAGAUGUUGGGUUAAGUCCCGCAACGAGCGAAACCCUUGUCCCUAGUUGCUAACGCGUAAUGGCGAGGACUCUAUGGAGACUGCCGGUGUCAAACCGGAGGAAGGUGGGGAUGACGUCAAGUCAUCAUGGCCCUUAAGCUCUGGGCUGGACACAUGCUACAAUGGCCGGUACAACGGGAUGCCAAGCCGCAAGGCGGAGCGAAGCCCUUAAAACCGGUCUCAGUUCGGAUCGGAGGCUGCAACUCGCCUCCGUGAAGUCGGAAUCGCUAGUAAUCGCGGAUCAGCUACGCCGCGGUGAAUAUGUCCCCGAGCCUUGUACACACCGCCCGUCAAGCCACGAAAGUUGGCAGCGCGCGAAGUCGUGGGUCUAACCGCAAGGAGGACCGCGCCCACCGCGAGGCCAGCAAUCGGGACUAAGUCGUAACAAGGUA
rnacentral:rRNA from 1 species